rnacentral:tRNA from 1 species
GCCUUCGUGGUGUAGUGGUCAGCACACUCGGCGCGUAUUCGAGAGGUCCGUGGUUCGAGUCCUGGCGAGGGCA